AUGCUGACGAGUGGCGGACGGGUGAGUAACGCGUAGGAAUCUGUCCUUUGAGUGGGGGACAACCCCAGGGAAACUUGGGCUAAUACCGCAUAAGCCCUGAGGGGAAAGCGGGGGAUCUUCGGACCUCGCGCUGGAAGAGGAGCCUACGUCUGAUUAGCUAGUUGGUAGGGUAAAGGCCUACCAAGGCGACGAUCGGUAGCUGGUCUGAGAGGACGAUCCAGCCACACUGGGACUGAGACACGGCCCCAGACUCCUACGGGAGGCAGCAGUGGGGAAUUUUUCGCAAUGGGGGCAACCCUGACGAAGCAAUGCCGCGUGAAUGAAGAAGGCCUUCGGGUUGUAAAGUUCUUUCGUGGGAGGACGAAAAGGUGGGUGCUAAUAUCGCCUGCUGUUGACGUGAAUCCAAGAAGAAGCACCGGCUAACUCCGUGCCAGCAGCCGCGGUUAAUACGGGGGGUGCAAGCGUUAAUCGGAAUCACUGGGCGUAAAGGGUGCGUAGGCGGUGCAUUAGGUCUGUCGUGAAAUCCCCGGGCUCAACCUGGGAAUGGCGGUGGAAACCGGUGUACUAGAGUAUGGGAGAGGGUGGUGGAAUUCCCAGGUGUAGCGGUGAAAUGCGUAGAGAUCUGGAGGAACAUCAGUGGCGAAGGCGGCCACCUGGCCCAAUACUGACGCUGAGGCACGAAAGCGUGGGGGCAAACAGGAUUAGAUACCCUGGUAGUCCACGCCCUAAACGAUGAAUACUAGAUGUUUGGUGCCAAGCGUAGCUGAGUGUCGUAGCUAACGCGAUAAGUAUUCCGCCUGGGGAAGUACGGGCGCAAGGUUAAAACUCAAAGGAAUUGACGGGGGGCCCGCACAAGCGGUGGAGCAUGUGGUUUAAUUCGAUGCAACGCGACAGAACCUUACCUGGGGCUUGACAUGUCUGAGAAUCCUGCAGAGAUGCGGGAGUGCCCUUCGGGAGACAUCGAG
rnacentral:rRNA from 1 species